GCCUUUAUAGCUCAGUUGGUAGCAGCGUGCCCUUCGUAAGAGGAGUGUUCUCAGUAACUGAGGGUAAGGUCGGCAGUUCGACUCUGUCUGGAGGCA